UGGGCACCCUGUGCCAGGGCCUGCCCACCCUGCCAGGGAACAAUCCCUGCCCAAGAUCCCAUCCAGCCUUGCCCUCUCCUCGGCUACAUCUAUUCCUCCUUGUCCUGUCACUCCAAGCUCUUAUUUAAAGCAUUCCUCUCCAUCAUGAUGUAUGGUGGUGAUUUUUACAUUUUUUACAGGUGAUAUAGAACCGUAGGACACCUUUUGUCACUGUUUAGAUAGACUUUAUUUGUCAGAGUUUGCAAUAAUUUUUCUGCCUCCAUUUGCUAAUUCUGAAGUCUAUUGAAUGAUGUUUCCUAUUGUUAAAUUCCAUGGCUGUUCAGGCACCCAGGCCUCUUCUCCCCCCCACUCCCCCUUUCUCAAUCAUUUUCUAAUUGGAAUUAAUGGCACGAUAGUGCUCUGCAAUCUGCUUUGCCAUCUUUAUAACAAAUGUUCUUGUUUUAAUGUAGCUCUUCUCAUCCUGUAGUGGAUUUUAUAGUGUUCCUGCAGAGGAGAUGCCGAAGAGAGGCAUAAAGAUUCUUGUUACACAGUUGCAUUAGCAGUAGCAGUUUAAUCCUGGAUGCUCAGCAGAUGUUUUCUCUGCAGACAGAAGCGGGGAUCUCCAGUCUUUUGCAGCAUUAAUUAAAUCUCCCAAAAGACUGUUUAAAAUACUUAAGGGAAGGUUGACCUGUUCUAGAGGCUUCUCCAGGAUACAGCACUUGCACAUCAUUGCUGGCAUUCUCUGGAUGAUUCCCAGUGCUGAGGAUUUGUGUGAGACAAUGUCAAAAGAAAUACAGCAGUUUUAGAGAAAUAAAGGUGGAGGGAGAAAUGUUUUUUCUAUUAGGUACUUUUCAUGCAAAAAAUCACUUUUAACUAUUGAAGAUCAAUUUGCCUUCCUCUAUAACUUAUUGUAACAAUGUAAUUACACCUCUGUUUGCUAUUGUUUUAACUACUUUCACAGUACAUUUUCUGGACUGAUGUUUCCAGCAACUUCUAGUUGGCCAUAAGCAAGGGCUCUCUGUACUAUUACUUUCUCUCUCUAAUUAUGGCAGAUGGUAUUGCUGUAAUUUUUCUUGUUUAUAUGUUGUUAGACUAUAAAUUCACCUGUGACAACAUCUUUCAGCUGUGUCUUUUACAACAAGGAUGCCUGUCAGUGUGGUUACUGCCGACUUACCAUGAUGAAAGAACAAUAACUGAUGUUUUUACAAACCAUUCUCAGCAACCAUACACAGACAUGCCAGUGUUGACAAGAGAUGAAAUUCUGUAAUUUCAAUUUUGACAUCAGUGAGGAUAUAAAAAUGAUUUAUCAUCUUAGCUCUCAGAGCUCAAAGAUGGAACAUCUGAAGCUGCUGAAAGUAUCUGAAGGUGCACUGGCUCAUGGGACCUGAUGAGAUGUACUCACAGGUCCUGAGGGAAACAGGUAAUAUUUCACCCUCCUGCAAAUACUUGACAAGAGACUAGACAUGUUUCUUAUGAUAUUUUGAUUCAUUAGUAACAUUCAGUUCAGUCUAGCUAUUUUAUUUACAUGUGAGCCUGUCAGUUCCUCUAGUGUUCUGUUCACUGAUUCCUUCUCCAAACUUAGGUUUUCAGAAUGUUUUUGUAAUAUGCUGGUGAAAUUGAGUGUGUCACCUAUCAGUGGUCAUUAUAAUGAAAUAUUAACUGUUUGAAGUGUUGAAUGUGAAGUCUGCUGGUGGCCUUUGGUUUAUAUGCAUUGUGCAUAACAUUAUUACCUUUGUUUAUGAGGUCAACAAAGAGCUAACAUCUGCCAAAGCACAGACACUUUUUGUGUCAGAGCUGGCUUCUUGGUCAGCAGUCAGACAUGCUGAAAGUGCAGUGAAUAUUUAUCUUGGACUUGGUUAUGUGUUUUCUAUGAAAUUCAGGCUGUACCAACUCAUUCACUUUAAAUUUGAACUUCAAAUGAAGCGACAAUGAUGAAGACUUACAUCAUAAUUACAAGCACUAACAAGGUCGCUCUGCUAGAAAGUCUAGGGUUGCUUUACCAGUCAAAUGAGUAGGAGGAAAUAUUUGACUGAUAAACUUCUCAUAAUGGAAUAACCAGAAGGUUUAUUUUGUAGACUGCCAUUUUCAAAGCGUUUGGAGCUACUGCCUUACCAUAGGUUACUAAGUAUCCAGAAGAAAGUUUGUGCCAAGCUGAAAACUGCAAAUGUAGCCCAAGAGCUAAGUAACAACUAUUUUUCCAAAGGGGAAUCUCAAGUGAGUAUUUUUCCACAUCGUUUUGGUGGUAAAUCUGCUUCUGUGAUGUAUUCAAAUAUUUUUGUGGAACAUAAGCUGGAUUUUGAUAGUGUGCACAUUCUUAGGCUGGAAUGUUCUGUGUGUGUGUUCUUCUCCACCUAAAACUGGAUGUCUUUUUACAAACAAAUAGUGUUUGUUUGGUCCACUCUGAGGCACCAUGGGAGAGUUUCUUGCUGUAUCAGGUUUAUGGGGUGAAGUUUUGGUAGUGGAGGGCUGCAGGAUAAGGUCCUGAAAUAGCCAGCCUAUGUUAGGAAAAUUUACAUUUUCCCUCCUUACCUUGGAAAUCAUGAACAUGACUCUCCCUGCACUCCUUUUGGCUCCUCUCAGGUCACCCAACUCCAAAAUACUUAUUCAGCUUGAACAUUUUUAAAAAUCUUUUUGAUCAGCUUAAUAUUUGUUCCUGAGAUUAAAAAAAUCCUCUUAAAUGUCUGAAGAAACACACUCUGGAAUUCGUAUGAGGUGGACUUACUGUCAUUUUUAAUCCUCUCUGGCUCUAAACUUUAUCAGAUGUUUGAUGUAUUUAUCAAAUACCUUGAACAAUUUCUUUUGCUCAAAAGGUUAUCUUUUUUUCAUGUCUCAUCUUUGUCUUGUUCUAUGUCUUGAAGAGAUGUGUGCAAAGCCUUCCCUGAAGAAUUGGUAACAUCAGCAGCUUGUCACUGGGACCCAGCUCUCUCCUUUAAAAUAGUUCAUUUUAUAAAUGGCAAUUCAAUACAUUUUAUAAAAGGAAAUCAUUAUCAACUAGACAUGGGGAUAGCAGUGGAUUUUUUUUUCCUGCACAUACUCAAUUGCUUCACGAAAUUUCAUUUCACAGUUGGAAACUUGACUCUUGACUAGAGCUGUAUGAUACUGCCAAUUUUUGCUUUGACUAUUGAAGUGUAAAAAUAGCUAACUUUGCAAGAAUACAGCAUGUUUAAUCCAGCUCAAGAGUGUCACAUUAUUGUAGAGCAAGUGGUUCUUGUCUUUGAAAAUAACCAGGCUGAAGUAAUGGAAAUAUGAAACAGAAAAAUGUCAUUUGCCUAAAUGUACUCAGGUUGAAUCAAGUCUUAUUUUUUACUUGUCUUAAUUAGAUAUCAAGAUUGUGAAUGGCUAAUUCUUGUUUAAAAUGACACAAAACUGAACAGAUUGGUGACACAUUGUACUUGUUUGUUUCCUACUGCUCUGGUAGCGCAUAGCACAGUUAAAUCCAGGUAAAUGUGUUCCCUUAUGGCUCCUCAGAGCAAGGAGUAGGGCCUGGGACAUGAAUUUUUGCAGGGGAUGAUGCUUUUGCUAUGGAAGGACAAGCACAUGACUAACUACCUGUUGCUGAGUCUUGCUCAAAUCUGCUUGUGGAAUGUUUUUUAAAACAGUUUUUCAGAUAAAAAGGCAGCAUGGGUGGAAAACGUUCUUGAAGCUUCAGCUCUGUGAGUGAGAAUUCAGGGACAGGUGGUAGAAAUAUGGGGCAGAUACACAAAGUUUCCCUAAGAAACUCAGUUCUCCCACUUUUACUUGAUUUUACUUGCAUGCAUAAUGUCAGACAUCAACUUAACUUAUACAAAAUUUUUAUCACUGAUAGCACUUCCUCCUAGAUUAUGCCUAAAGUGUGAGAAUUGCACAUGUAGGAUGAGAACACAAGCUUCUUGUCUCUUGAGACUGAGGCUGCGUGCUACAACUUCAUCCCAGUUCUUGUCUCUGCUCUUUGUUUCUGGGAUUUCUUUCCUUUGGAAAAUACUUGCAAGUCAUAUCACAAGAGCCAAAAGUUGUUCUGAUAUUUAUUAUUUUUCCUCAAAUCUGAAGUCUCUUUCUAGGCUUUCUUGGCAGAUCUCUUGAGGCCUUUUAAUCUGUUGAUGUUUUAUGGGGUUGCCUUAAAAUGCAAUUCCAUCUCUUGAGUACUUGAUGCAUGGACAGUGAUUUGGAGACAAAGUUGGGAUGAAGAAGAGGACUGGGGCUGGGAACAAAUACGUCAAGAAAGGAUAUUUGGGAAAAGGUAAAUGGGGAAAGGGCCUGUGAAAAAAGAUAUAGGGGAUUGGAUGAUGUAUCCAUGAGAUAGCAGCAUCAGCUUUGUGUUCUGUGCUACCAUUCCCUCAUAGAUUCAGCAAGGCUCUUUGGGGUACAUGAUACUGGAUGGUGCUCCAGUAUGUGCUGAAGUGUAUCCCAAACUGGAAUUGGCUUUACAAAUAAGCACAUCUUUUCAUCUGAUGCAUCUGAUUUGGCGUCUUGAUAAAAGGAAGACAGUAACAUAUCAUUCUGUCAUCAGAGUCUCCAAAGGGCAUGUGAAUGUUAUAAGGAAAUAUCUGUUAAAUCUCUUGGAAUUAGAAGUGACAAUAUAAUAAACACUUUCAGUUUGUAUUUA